CACUGUCCCAAUGCCUUCUCCUACACAGCUACUGUCCUCUCAGGAAGUCAACACGUGUGCUUUAAAAAGAAGGAGCAGCUCAAAAGGAGCCCAUUAACGUCAUCUCCUUCUUCUAAGCAUCUCAAGGACAUCACUCCACAGUUAUACCAGAAGGAAAAAAUGGUCAAAUAUUUCCAGGUACUGUGGUCACUUUUGUUCUCCAUCAUGCUUCAUUCGAUGCUCCUGGCUGCUCCAGGUGCUAGAGUUUGGUGGCCUACACAUGGACUGAUUAAGAUAAAAUGUCCUUAUAAGAAAGUAAAAUUGAGUUGGUUCAAUAAAACAGUGGAUCCCUGCCCUGGCCUAAAACAACCCAUCUGUGGCACCAAUUUUGUAACCUAUGAUAAUCCCUGCAUCUUGUGUGUUGAGAGCUUAUUUCUGGUGACAAAGACCUGUUGGAAACUGAUGGCUGGAUGGUCGUUCUGUGUUUUCAUUAAUAACUAUUCUGACCUGGAGACAUAGCUCAUUUUUAAAGUACCAUCUCACAGGUUGAAGAAUGCUGGGAUCAAUCCCAAUCUGUACAAAUAAACCAAACUUUCCUGAA